UACAGAGGUCCCAAGCGUUGUUCGGAUUCACUGGGCGUAAAGGGUGCGUAGGUGGCAUGGUAAGUUUGAUGUGAAAUCUCCGGGCUUAACCCGGAAAUGGCAUUGAAUACUACUGUGCUGGAGGUUUGGAGGGGGGACUGGAAUUCUCGGUGUAGCAGUGAAAUGCGUAGAUAUCGUGAGGAAGACCAGUGGCGAAGGCGGAUCUCUGGACAGUUCCUGACGCUGAGGCGCGAAGGCCAGGGGAGCAAACGGG
rnacentral:rRNA from 1 species